AAUAAGUGCAGUUUUAGCACUGUUUAUGUCCAACGUUUGACCGUUCGUCUUAUUUGAAUUUUUUUUAUAAUUACUACUUUUAUUGUUAUUAUAUGAUAAAACAUGAAUAGUACUUUACGUGUGACUAAUUUUUUAAUAUUUUUCAUAAAUUUUUUAAAUAAGACGGAUGGUCAAAACGAUGAACACGGAUAUCUAUGGCUUAUUUUGGA
rfam:Oryza glumipatula chromosome 1, whole genome shotgun sequence.